CCGGCCUAAAGGAUAGUCGCCGCCCCACCCCACGUUUCUUAUUCGCAGAUUUGAAUCUUUACUUCCGACAUGUGACCUUGUGACUUGAAAAUUAGCUUGAGUGCUUCUGAGCGCUGUUUUCCACCUCUUAAAAACCAGAUUUCCUGAAAAGGAUCAUCCAUAAUCGUAAAAGGCUGGAGUCUAUUCCAUGCUAGUUGUUGGGUUAACUGCCUAAGAAGCCACAGUUAAAUUAGUUAACCCAGCCAAACUGAAUUACUUCCUGCUGCUUGUACAUAGCAUCAUUUUUACACCUUGGAGCCUUUGCCCUAAUGUUCCCUCUGCCAUCAGUAUGCUUUUCGUCAGUUCUAUAUAUCUGCAUACCUACCGUAGAAGUCAUGAGGGAAGGAGACAGAGAUGAAGAGAAAGCCCACAACUCGUCUUCUAAGAACAUAUCUAGUAAGGGAGAAAGACAAGCAAACCAAAA